rnacentral:rRNA from 1 species
UACGGGGGGGGCAAGCGUUGUUCGGAAUUACUGGGCGUAAAGGGCUCGUAGGUGGCCAACUAAGUCAGACGUGAAAUCCCCAGGCUUAACCUGGGAACUGCGUCUGAUACUGGAUGGCUUGAAUUCGGGAGAGGGAUGCAGAAUUCCAGGUGUAGCGGUGAAAUGCGUAGAUAUCUGGAGGAAUACCGGUGGCGAAGGCGGCGUCCUGGACCGAGAUUGACACUGAGGAGCGAAAGCUAGGGGAGCAAACGGG